GACGAACGCUGGCGGCGUGCCUAAUACAUGCAAGUAGAACGCUGAAGGAGGAGCUUGCUCUUCUGGAUGAGUUGCGAACGGAUGAGUAACGCGUAGGUAACCUGCCUGGUAGCGGGGGAUAACUAUUGGAAACGAUAGCUAAUACCGCAUAACAGUAGAUGUUGCAUGACAUUUACUUAAAAGGUGCAAUUGCAUCACUACCAGAUGGACCUGCGUUGUAUUAGCUAGUUGGUGGGGUAACGGCUCACCAAGGCGACGAUACAUAGCCGACCUGAGAGGGUGAUCGGCCACACUGGGACUGAGACACGGCCCAGACUCCUACGGGAGGCAGCAGUAGGGAAUCUUCGGCAAUGGACGGAAGUCUGACCGAGCAACGCCGCGUGAGUGAAGAAGGUUUUCGGAUCGUAAAGCUCUGUUGUAAGAGAAGAACGAGUGUGAGAGUGGAAAGUUCACACUGUGACGGUAUCUUACCAGAAAGGGACGGCUAACUACGUG
rnacentral:rRNA from 1 species